rnacentral:rRNA from 1 species
GACGAACGCUGGCGGCGUGCUUAACACAUGCAAGUCGAACGGAAAGGCCCUGCUUGCAGGGUACUCGAGUGGCGAACGGGUGAGUAACACGUGGGUGAUCUGCCCUGCACUUCGGGAUAAGCCUGGGAAACUGGGUCUAAUACCGGAUAGGAGCCAUUUUUAGUGUGAUGGUUGGAAAGUUUUUUCGGUGUAGGAUGAGCUCGCGGCCUAUCAGCUUGUUGGUGGGGUAAUGGCCUGCCAAGGCGGGGGCGGGUAGCCGGCCUGGGAGGGUGGGCGGGCACAUUGGGACUGAGGUACGGCCCAGACUCCUACGGGAGGCAGCAGGGGGGAAUAUUGCACAAUGGGCGCAAGCCUGAUGCAGCGACGCCGCGUGGGGGAUGACGGGCUUCGGGUUGUAAAAUCCUUUCGCUAGGGACGAAGCUUUUUGUGACGGUACCUAGAUAAGAAGCACCGGCUAACUACGUG